AACGAACGCUGGCGGCAGGCCUAACACAUGCAAGUCGAACGCCGUAGCAAUACGGAGUGGCAGACGGGUGAGUAACACGUGGGAACGUACCUUUCGGUUCGGAAUAACUCAGGGAAACUUGAGCUAAUACCGGAUACGUGCGAGAGCAGAAAGAUUUAUCGCCGAAAGAUCGGCCCGCGUCCGAUUAGCUAGUUGGUGAGGUAAUGGCUCACCAAGGCGACGAUCGGUAGCUGGUCUGAGAGGAUGAUCAGCCACACUGGGACUGAGACACGGCCCAGACUCCUACGGGAGGCAGCAGUGGGGAAUAUUGGACAAUGGGCGAAAGCCUGAUCCAGCCAUGCCGCGUGAGUGAUGACGGCCUUAGGGUUGUAAAGCUCUUUCGCCAGGGACGAUAAUGACGGUACCUGGAUAAGAA
rnacentral:rRNA from 1 species